rnacentral:misc_RNA from 1 species
AUGGAAUGAUAACCCACACACGUGUUUAUUUUUAUCAAACUGACAGCAUGGGGAAAAAGAACUUCAAAAAGAAGUUAGGUGCCUCACUUGUUGAAAGAAAGAAGAACUUGCAAGAGGCUAGAAAAGAACUUGCAAAGUCUUCAUCUGCAAAGACAAAGAUGCAGUACAGCGCUGACCAGAUACUGGACAAGGUUGAUGAAUACAUUGAUAGUUUCCAGUAUGAACUGGCUCAGAAAUUUUGUCAGCGGGCUUUGGAAAUGGAGCCUGACAAUAUCCGAGCCUUGGAAACAGCAGGAAGCUUACUUCUAGAGCUGGGAGACACAGAAGCUGCAAAGCAGUGCUUUGGUCGAGCUGUGGAAGUUAAUCCUGACACUGGACACAGUAAAUAUAUGUAUCUUGGUCAGCUGUUUGAAGGAGCAGAAGCCAUUCAGUUCUUUCAGAAAGGAAUUGAAGUGUGAGACCGCUAUCAACAAAGCUAUAGAGGCUGAUGGGGAAAACCCCGAGGCCUACCAACUCAAGGCCAGCUUCUAUCUAUCUAAGGAAAAUAAACAGGAGGCUUUAUCCAUGAUAAAAAAGAGUGCAUCACUAUGGUUACCACAUUAUCAAGCUGUUGACCAGGACAAAAUUACAGAUGAAGAAAGUGACCCCGUGGAGGUAGUGCCUCUAUCCUAUGAUGCCAGAGUAACAACAGCCAAAAUAUUGAUAGAAGUAGAAGAAUUUGAGACUGCAGUUACUAUUUUGGAAGGCUUACUGGAUGAGAAUGAAGAUGACCCACAGAUUUGGUAUAUGAUUGGAUGGGCUAAUUAUCUACAAGGGGAAGAUUACAAAUCAAAUGCAAGAUUUUAUCUCAAGAAAUGUAAAGAGGUAUACGUGAAAACAAAAUACGAGGAUGAAGGGUUAUUGAAGCACACAGAAGAACUGCUUGCAGAGCUUGGUCCAGGUGAUGAUGAUGAAGAUGAUGAUGCUGAGGGAGAUGGUGAUGAUGUUGAAGACUUGGAAAUUGACAGUGACUCUGAAAGUGAAAGUAACACAAAUAAUGACAGUGAAACAAAAAUGGAACAUUGAUAUGAUUGUUUCAAAUGGUUGACUGGAUCUGUGGAACAUGAUUUAAUGGCUUUUGGGUGCCUAAACUGUUAUAAAACUGCAUGAGGAUUUUUCCUUGAUUUAAUCAUGGAAUUUUACAGUUUGUAAGACAUGUACACAGUGCAUGUAAUAUUUGUUCUUUAUUGAUAUUAUUAAUAAAAUGUUAUUUU